UACAGAGGUCUCAAGCGUUGUUCGGAUUCAUUGGGCGUAAAGGGUGCGUAGGCGGCGCGGUAAGUCGGGUGUGAAAUCUCGGAGCUUAACUCCGAAACUGCAUUCGAUACUGCCGUGCUUUGAGGACUGGAGAGGAGACUGGAAUUUACGGUGUAGCGGUGAAAUGCGUAGAUAUCGUAAGGAAGACCAGUGGCGAAGGCGG
rnacentral:rRNA from 1 species